GUGCACUUCUCCCCUAGUAGGACGUCGCGACCCGUUGGGUGUCGGUCUACGGCCCGGAAUGUCGACUGUCUAGUUACGCUCGUCGUAUACGAGGCAGACUUUCGGAUGCCCGACCGGCUGCCCGGCGGUAUCGAAAGCUAACAUAAACUGGUAUUGAGCCGCAUUAAAUGCGUUCGACUCGUCGGCCGGCUGUCUCUCUCGGAUUUACGGACUUUGUGCCGUUGUCGAGUGCUUGACGAGCUACUCAGGUCGUGCGAUGUACUCGGACAGGCUCGUUACAUUCGAACGGAUGUACCGGUCAGCGACGCUACUGCUUUGGGUACUUUCAGGACCCGUCUU
rnacentral:rRNA from 1 species